ensembl:lncRNA
GAGUCAGGCCCUGGCUUAUUGGUCUCCAAAGCCCCCGCUUCCCCCACCUUCUUCCUGCAGGAGGUGGGAGUAUCUUGGAAGUUCCGAAGGUCAAAGGCAACCAGAGCAGCCCAGUUGGGCAGUCCAGGGAAGCCCUGCGAGGGAGGUGGAGCCCUUCCCAGAGCACCCAGGACCUGUCUCUGCACUGGGACCGGGAAGAUGCUUCAUUUCACAGGUGAGACUUAGAGCUAGAAGCGACCAUAAGACAGUUCCUGCCUCUCCUUGUUUUCUGGAGGUUCUUUUGAGAGUCCUUGAACAUUUCUGCUUCCUGGAAGGUUGCAUCUCCUUCUUCCUCCCCUCUAUCAAGUUUUUCUCUGGGUCUGAUGCAUCAAAGCCCCAGCCCGGUGAGAUGGUGAUGCCCCAGGUUCAGGCAGACUUCAGGGGAGGCAGAGCCCGGCUCCUAAAAGCCGUGUGUACAUCUGGCUCUGCAAUGCCCUUCAGCUGUCAUUGAGAGCUGCCCCCUGCUGGAACCGGCCGCAGCUGCUCCCGUGACUGGGAGCCCAACUUCUCUGUGGCAUAGAAACAGCCUUUCUCAGGCCAGGCACAGUGGCUCACGUCUGUAAAUCCCAGCACUUGGGGAGGCUGAGGUGGAAGAAACACUUGAGGUCAGGCAUUCGAAACCAACCUGGCCAACGUGGUGAAACCCUGUCUGUACCAAAAAAUACAAAACUUAGCCAGUCGUGGUGGCCUGCACCUGUAGUCCCACCUACUUGGGGGGCUGAAGCGUGAGAAUCACUUGAACCUGGGAGUUGGAGGUUGCAGUGAGCCGAGAUCAAGUGACCCUAUCUCAAAACAAAACAAAAACAAAGAGAAAAGGCCUUUCUUCUGAACUUCCCCAGAGCCUCCAUCAGCUGCUCCAGAUGUCACUGUCCUCCACCUGUGGUCCCUUGGUUAGGACUUGGGUGAAGUUUUCUGGGCCCUAAGGACUCAGGUAGUGAGGAAAAGUACAGCAGGUGAAAUGGGCUAUGCAGAUCCAAGGCUCACCUGGUCCUGGUUCCUGGUGAUGAGGAGUGGAUGAUUUAAUGAGGGGUGAGCAGGGGCCCAGCCCCAUCCUCUGCACCCUAACCCAGCCGGGCCCUGGGGUCCUUGCGCAGCCUGGCACCCUUCAGUCCCGCUUUUCCGGCAGCUGCCUCAGGCUGGAGAAUGAACUCUACCCAGUGGCUUCCACUUGAUCCUCCCCACAGCGAAUAUCUGGCCUCCCUGCAUCUUUUGCAUGUAAUUCCCAAACUGGAGCAUUUUCCACAUUUUGAGUCUAUCCCAGUCAAGGUAGAAGCCAGAACUCACUUCCCAGCCUCCUCAGGGGGCAGUCAUUACGACCAGGCUCUGCUGUUCAAAUGUCCCUGCAUGAGACUUGUAGGGGGUCCUCUAUAGAGAGUGGGGUGGUGGAGGCCUCUGGCCCUUCAGGGCAACGGUGGCAGAGUUCUGGGGUCACACUGGAGCAGGGCUUUCUGGGGUGGGGGGUGGCCUCUGCUGUGCACCUUAGGUAUUAUUCUUAGCUCUGUGGCAUCCAGGUCUGACUCUUUGGCCUCCUGCAGAUUCCAUGAGCUUCAAAAUGGCUUUUAAUAACUUGCUUUUCUGUGAAAACUAGCUGGAGUGCAUUGUGUUGUUUGCAGUUUACCUCCCCUCUCCUCCCCCCAGAGGCCCUACCACUCUUAGAAAAACUCACCAUGCAGAGGGAAUGGGAAAAGCAAUCCUAGCAAAGAGUAGCAGUUCUUAACCCUUCAAGCCACCUGGGCACUUAUAAACGCGCCCACACCCAGCAUCCGGCUUGCUCUGGGCAUACCCCAAGUCUGAGUUAUUAGGGUGGCUUUAAAUCCUGCGAUGUUACGGGAUUACACUUUUCCGAAAUAUUUGCAUGAAUUGGCUUGGGUCCCUAUCACACAUGAGGGGAAGAUUCUCAGAUGUUUUCCCUUCCCAUGUCUUCAGGGGGUCUAGAGGACAGUGAGUUUUAUUCAGGUCUCUUCUCUCUUCAUUGCUGUGCUUCUGUUUGUUCUCUUCUUGCUUUCUGUACUGUGUCGCCCUCCACCAGACACUCCCGAGGUCCUUUAUUCCCUAAAGGACACCAAUGCAAGGCUAAGUGUUGAAAUCUGGGAGCCAGAAAGUGGGGUGAAUGAUACCACAAAACAGCACAGCAGACCAUCUCUUUUUUCUUUUAAGAUUUUAUUGUAGAAUACAUCACACACAUUAAAGUGCAUGAAACAUAAAUGUACACUUUAGCAAAUCAUUAUAAAGUGAAGACCUAUAUAACAGUCACCCAACUCAAGAAAUAGGCUAUUGCCAGCGCUCCAGGAGCCUCCCAUGUGCCCCGCUGUAAACAGUCUUUACAGUGACAUAUUUCAUACAUUCAGAACAGAGUAUAAAACAGAUGCAACUGAAUGAAUCAUCCAAAAAGGAACACCGUGUGCCCAUUAAAUGUGGUAUUACUAAUAUCUAAGAAGCCAUUUUUUUUUUUUUUCGAUGGAGGGUCACUCUGCCGCCGGGGCUGGAGUGCAGUGUUGUGAUCUCGGCUCACUGCAAUUUCCGCCUCCUGGGUUCAAGCGAUCCUCCCACCUUAUCCUCCCGAGUAGCUAGGAUUACAGGUGUGCGCCACAACGUCUGGCUAAUUUUUUUGUUAACAGUUUACAAAAGUCCUUUCUGGGGACAUCACUGGACAAGACCAUGAGUGAGCCUGGGAAAACACAGGCUCCCUGUAGCUGAGGCAUUAGGCAGGGCUGUGAUGUGAGCCAGAUCCCCCCAUAUCAGGAUUUAGUCUUCCUUUUGAGUUGCCCAGACUUUUUAGAGAAGAUUGUUCUAACUUCUUGAGAGGAAGGCUGCCUUGUGUUUUGGGUGUUUAGAGUCAGAGUCUGGGGUGGGGUCUCCAUAGCAUAUGACCCAGAAUCUUCCUGCCUUCUGGGCAGUAACCACUCUCAGUAAUUUCCCAGUGGGGGCGGGGAGGGGACAGGAGGAGAGGAAAGAGGAGGAGAAGGGAGAGUUUCCAGGGAUCUAACUGCUUCUUAAACAACUUUCAACCCAUGUUAUUUUAACUUCCUUCUUUACCCAGCUUAGAGAGGUUCCCUCUAGAGCCAGUUCCUGAGCCU